rnacentral:rRNA from 1 species
UACGAAGGUCCCGAGCGUUAUCCGGAUUUAUUGGGUUUAAAGGGUGCGUAGGCGGGUUAUUAAGUCAGUGGUGAAAGCCUACAGCUUAACUGUAGAAUUGCCAUUGAUACUGAUGAUCUUGAGUAUGAUUGAGGUGGGCGGAAUGUGUCAUGUAGCGGUGAAAUGCUUAGAUAUGACACAGAACACCGAUUGCGAAGGCAGCUCACUAAGUCAUAACUGACGCUGAGGCGCGAAAGCUAGGGGAGCGAACAGG